rnacentral:rRNA from 1 species
AACGAACGCUGGCGGCAGGCCUAACACAUGCAAGUCGAACGCUGUAGCAAUACAGAGUGGCAGACGGGUGAGUAACGCGUGGGAACGUGCCCUUUGGUUCGGAAUAACCCAGGGAAACUUGGGCUAAUACCGGAUACGUCCGUAAGGAGAAAGAUUUAUCGCCAAAGGAUCGGCCCGCGUCGGAUUAGCUAGUUGGUGAGGUAAAGGCUCACCAAGGCGACGAUCCGUAGCUGGUCUGAGAGGAUGACCAGCCACACUGGGACUGAGACACGGCCCAGACUCCUACGGGAGGCAGCAGUGAGGAAUAUUGGACAAUGGGCGCAAGCCUGAUCCAGCCAUGCCGCGUGAGUGAAGAAGGCCUUAGGGUUGUAAAGCUCUUUCAGCGGGGAAGAUAAUGACGGUACCCGCAGAAGAAGCCCCGGCUAACUCCGUGCCAGCCGCCGCAGUAAC